AUUGAACGCUGGCGGCAGGCCUAACACAUGCAAGUCGAGCGGAUGAUGGGAGCUUGCUCCUUGAUUCAGCGGCGGACGGGAGAGUAAUGCCUAGGAAUCUGCCUGGUAGUGGGGGACAACGUUUCGAAAGGAACGCUAAUACCGCAUACGUCCUACGGGGGAACGCAGGGGACCGUCGGGCCUUGCGCUAUCAGAUGAGCCUAGGUCGGAUUAGCUAGUUGGUGGGGUAAUGGCUCACCCAGGCGACGAUCCGUAACUGGUCUGAGAGGAUGAUCAGUCACACUGGAACUGAGACACGGUCCAGACUCCUACGGGAGGCAGCAGUGGGGAAUAUUGGACAAUGGGCGAAAGCCUGAUCCAGCCAUGCCGCGUGUGUGAAGAAGGUCUUCGGAUUGUAAAGCACUUUAAGUUGGGAGGAAGGGCAGUAAGCUAAUACCUUGCUGUUUUGACGUUACCGACAGAAUAAGCACCGGCUAACUCUGUGCCAGCCGCCGCAGUAAAAC
rnacentral:rRNA from 1 species